rnacentral:rRNA from 1 species
CCCAGCUUGCUGGGUGGAUUAGUGGCGAACGGGUGAGUAACACGUGAGUAACCUGCCCCCGACUCUGGGAUAAGCCCGGGAAACUGGGUCUAAUACCGGAUAUGACCUCGCACCGCAUGGUGCGGGGUGGAAAGAUUUAUCGGUGGGGGAUGGACUCGCGGCCUAUCAGCUUGUUGGUGAGGUAAUGGCUCACCAAGGCGACGACGGGUAGCCGGCCUGAGAGGGUGACCGGCCACACUGGGACUGAGACACGGCCCAGACUCCUACGGGAGGCAGCAGUGGGGAAUAUUGCACAAUGGGCGAAAGCCUGAUGCAGCGACGCCGCGUGAGGGAUGACGGCCUUCGGGUUGUAAACCUCUUUCAGUAGGGAAGAAGCGAAAGUGACGGUACCUGCAGAAGAAGCGCCGGCUAACUACGUGCCAGCAGCCGCGGUAAUACGUAGGGCGCAAGCGUUAUCCGGAUUUAUUGGGCGUAAAGAGCUCGUAGGCGGUUUGUCGCGUCUGCCGUG